rnacentral:lncRNA from 1 species
CCUGAUGUGACAAAUCAGGACAGUGUUUAAGAGGACGAUAUAAAGCGGAAGCAAAUUGUACUGGUUUGUUCACGCAAACCUGGACAGCUCACAAUAUGAAAGCCACAUGUAAUUUACAACCAAUUGCAAGACAGUGUGCGCUCUUGCCUAGGUCAGCCACUGUUUGCCGACGGCGAGGACGGCAUAUAUCGACUGGCCAUCGCCAGUCUCUGUAAGUCCUUUCCCAGGAAGCUAUUCUGUCCCAAACAGUUGACUUCGGCAAUUUAAGCAAAAAAGCUCAUUCUGAAACUCCUGCCUUGAUCAGCGAAGUAAUCUACUUCGCAGGACAGCUACCGCUGCAGCGGUAGAUACCGCUCUUGCCAUUGUAGGCUCGCUUGGAAUAGUGGGGGGAACCUUUUUUGCGGCUUUAUACAUCAUUGAGCGUCAAAGCAAGGUACGGCUGCUCUUCCUUCGGCUACACAUGCCGUUCGACCCCCCAUCACCCCAACUUGGAGGCCUUCAUGCCGGCCUGCCGUCACCUUCCGCGCACCCAACUGCAAUUCGGCGAACGUUGCACGUGCAAUGCUCUUAUCACCUCGGGGAAGGUGGUCCGGCUCUAAUCUAUCAUAGUAUAUCGUUGGCCAUAGGUGCCUUACCCACUACCCGUCCUACCCCUGCCCCAUACGCGUCCGGGGUUAUAUCACAUAACCCCCAUGCCGCAGCUCCUGUUGCUGCUGCUACUAUUACUGCUGUGCACCCUUCGGAUCACACCUCCUGUUAUUUCAAUCCCAACUCCAGACGCCUUAAACUGCCUCUUCCCCUUACAGCCUUAUGGCGCUCACAAAGAACAGCUCCACUUAACUUGGUUUUGCAAACCUCCUUGCAGCUCCUAACCCGCUGACCCUUUUUGCGUUUCUGAAUUUACAUAUCACAUCGUCACCCCAACCAACCAGGUCCCCGGUCCCCGAUGUUUCGUCGUUUACCCCUAGCCCCCAAAGAUCCCCGUCCCGUGGGACCGUGCCGUUGGCAUCUGCAACUUUUCAGGAAGUCCUUCACCGCAAACUCGAGCGGCUAGAAGCCACCAUCAGGGAGCGAGAUCAGCAGCUGCUGUCGGCGGCACAAGAGGUUGACAGGGCCAAGGAGGUAUGGCAAGGCCAUAUCCAAACAGACAGUGCGUUGCACCGCUAAGAAUAUAUCGCUAAUAACCAUAGUACUAAUAACCACAUCGCGCGUGCUUCGGCGCUUUCACCGACGCGAAUGGAACAAAGGUGCACUUGACCCUCAGACCUUCUUCACCUUGUUUCGGACGCGCCCCCUCGUGUGGGGUACCACCCAAUUCGUAUCCACUUAGAAUAUUUGCCUUUCGCAGUUGUUCUUUUCCGCCGCCCAGAAUUUAAAUGGACUUGCGAAAUUUAAAGGAAUCCUUGAAUCCUGAAUCCAACUCCCCUGACCCAGCACGCCCGCGAGAACGACAUGUUUCGAGUCCGCUACGCCGAUGCCAGCCGGGACAUCUUUAAAUUGGAGAGGGCGCUGGAACUCAAGGCGAGCGGGAAGAGCGGGGGGCGAUUGGCGUGUGUGGGUUAAGAGGGCACGAAACUUGUAGUAGAGAACUACACCCUCCGAUCCGAAUCUCCACCAUUCACAAGUUGCGUAAAUGCAUGCGUUCCUUCCUUCCUACCUUGCUUGCACUCCUCAAGCCCCACAUGUCUGCUUCUUCUCACCGCUUCUUGCCUUCCUCCCUGUUUCGCCUUGCAUGUCAUGUCACCUCAUAUGCCUG